AACUGGUCGAUCCUGCCAGUAGUCAUAUGCUUGUCUCAAAGAUUAAGCCAUGCAUGUCUAAGUAUGAAUAGUAUUCUUGAUACUGUGAAACUGCGAAUGGCUCAUUAAAUCAGUUAUAGUUUAUUUGAUAGUUUGCAACUCGUUUUUCGGAGCGGUGUUGUGCUAGACGGAUAGCCGUGGUAAUUCUAGAGCUAAUACGUGCGACAAGGCCCGAGAGAGAGAGGUGUGUGUAUGCACAUUUUUUCCUUUCGAGGGCUGCAUUUGUUAGGUAUAAAGCCAGCAGGAACAUGACUGGUGAAUCAGAAUAACUUUGCUGACCGUUACACUUUUGUGUGUGAUGGUGUCUCAUUCGAAUUUCUGCCCUAUCAACUUUCGAUGGUAAGGUAUUGGCUUACCAUGGUGACAACGGGUGACGGGGAACAUUUGGUUCGAUUCCGGAGAGGGAGCCUGAGAGACGGCUACCACUUCCAAGGAAGGCAGCAGGCGCGCAAAUUACCCAAUCCUGACACAGGGAGGUAGUGACAAUAAAUACCAAUGCACGGUGUUUUUUAUGCACUGUGCAAUUGGAAUGAGAACAAUGUAAAGACCUUAUCAAGGAACAAUUGGAGGGCAAGUCUGGUGCCAGCAGCCGCGGUAAUUCCAGCUCCAAAAGCGUAUACUAAAGUUGUUGCAGUUAAAAAGCUCGUAGUUGGAUUUCAUGCGGGGUUCACGGUGUGUGGUGGGGGUGAGACUCUGUUUCGCCUUUGCCUUGCACUGUUUGCGCUCUGCAGUUUUAAUACUCCCUGGUGGCGCCUUUGGCGCGUGCCCUUGAUUGGGUGUGUGUCAAGUCACGUAGUGGUGGGGCGCUGUUGGGGGCUUUACUUUGAAAAAAUUAGAGUGUUCAAAGCAGGCAGUCAUUUGAUUUGCUUGAAUAGAUUAGCAUGGAACAACGGAAGAGGACUUUUGGGCCUGUACUGUUGGCGUGUGGUGCGGGGGUGUGGAAGAAGAAACCGCAAGGUUUUCUUAUUCCUCCCUCACCACAUCGGGUCUGAAGUAAUGAUUAAUAGGGACGGUUGGGGGCACUGGUAUUUCGUUGUCAGAGGUGAAAUUCUUGGAUUUACGAAAGACCGCCGACUGCGAAAGCAUUUGCCAAGGACGCUUUCAUUGAUCAAGAACGAAAGUUAGGGGAUCGAAGACGAUUAGAUACCGUCGUAGUCUUAACCAUAAACGAUGCCGGCCAGGGCUCGGUGGGCAGCACAAAUCAUUCUGUGAUGGAGGCGCCAUCGGGACCUUAGGGAAACCAA